rnacentral:lncRNA from 10 species
ACCCACUAAGGCUGAGGCCAAAGAAAAUUCUCCGAUGACAAGGCUCUGCAGGUGCCAUACGGAGCGAGUGCUUUUCAGGCAGUUGGCGGAGCCCAAAGCAAGCUUCCCCCAGAGCAUCCGAAGGGGCCACUUGGCUGCGGUCGCCAUCGCGAGAACAACAGGAAACUGAGCAGGGGCUGCUGUCGUCCUGGGCAGGACAGCUCUCCAUUUCCCUUCAGGCCUGGCAUUGUUUUGCUGAUGGAAGAAAAGUGGAAUGGGGCGUGAUCACACUGCCGGCUCAGCAGCUGGAAAGCUCAUGUGUUUGCUUAAAUGUGCACAAAUGCAAAUGAUGAUGAGAAGAGAAGAGAUGCAGAAGGAUGGAUUCCCAUCUGAGUGGGCAGCCUGACUCCAGGGCUGGCAUGCAGCUGUGUGUCCAU